AAAAAAGAAGAGAACAGUGAAGAUAAUGAGCUGGUCUUUUGACAACUUCAGGGAAAUUGCUUGCACUGUUUAAUGGGUGAAUCAUUGGAGGCUAUUUCCUUGACAAUAGAUUCAAUCUACUAUGCAACAUCA